rnacentral:rRNA from 1 species
CUACGGGUCGCUGCAGUGGGGAAUAUUGGACAAUGGGGGCAACCCUGAUCCAGCAAUUCCGCGUGGAUGAUGAAGGUUUUCGGAUCGUAAAGUCCUUUUAGUUGGGAAGAUAGUGACGGUACCAACAGAAAAAGCACCGGCUAAUUACGUGCCAGCAGCCGCGGUAAGACGUAAGGUGCAAGCGUUAUCCGGAAUUACUAGGCGUAAAGGGCAUCUAGGCGGCUAUAUAAGUCAGAGGUGAAAAGUCUGGGCUCAACCGAGGCCUUGCCUUUGAUACUGUAUAGCUAGAGUACGGGAGAGGAGGGCGGAACUACAAGUGUAGAGGUGAAAUUCGUAGAUAUUUGUAGGAAUGCCGAUUACGAAGGUAGCUCUCUGGACCGAUACUGACGCUAAAGUGCGAAAGCUAGGGGAGCAAACAGGAUUAGAUACCCCCGUAGUC